GACGCUUCCGGGAGGUCUAGGCGGCUGCCGUGAGCCGGUCCGAAACGGCUCUAGGUGCACUGUCCGGCUCCAGCCAGGUCCGCUACGCCUGGAGAGCAUGGAGGCAAGUUCUGCCGGCUCCACCUGCAAAGCAGAGCCCCUUUCCACGACUGUGCAGCACCGCUCGCUCCAGCCCCACCAUACCCGCCUGGACGGAGACCGACCGCAGCCUGGGAGAGCCUCCAAGCCUGGAGGCGGGCGCGCGAGCCCUUUCCAAGGAGAACCCACAGCGGCUUCCCCUCUUGCUCCAGGGGCCUCUAGAUCCCACCCCACCUGGCACCUGCGUCUCUCCCAGAACUCGGCCUGCCCCUACCUUCCCGCCAGCCCCCACCCUGCUGGGGCUACUGGGACCUCCUAGCGGCAUGCAGCGUUCAGGCUCAACCCCCGCUGUGCUCUGCGGUCGCAGCUGCAGCCGCUUCGGUGCUCCAAGACCAGAGAGGAAGCAAAGACAGAGCUUUCCCAGCCAGGCAUCGCUGCUUUGGCCUUGAAGCUCAGCGUGUGGCUACCUGGACCAAUUCUGUCUGAUGGGGUGUGCAGUAGUGUCAUGAACUACUUCUAUCCCAGGAAGUAACUUGUAAAUGAGUGGAUGAGCCAAUUCUCCUUCUUUCUCUUCCUGCUGGCUGAAGUGUGGACAUGAUGGCAGGAGCUGCAGCAGUCACAUUGGACCAUGGGUCAUCGUGGGAAUGGAAGUCACACAAGGGUAUUUAAAGCCACACAAGGAUAAUGAGCACUGGAUAGAUGGAGCCCGAGUCCCCAUCACAGUGUAGCCCCUGUAACAGAUCUAGACUUCCUGCCUCCCACAUUGAGUAAACUGCUCUCUUGCUUAAGCCACUAUUAUGUUAGGAUUUUUUCAACCCAUAGUCAGAGAUAGUCCUAACUGAUUCACCACCCUCAGAGAGUUUACAGCCAAUUAUGUUUCUCAUGAAAAAGGUUAGCCAGUGGUUGUAAGUGAUCCCGGACUGGAGCGCCAGCU
rnacentral:lncRNA from 1 species